rnacentral:rRNA from 1 species
UACGUAGGGGGCAAGCGUUGUCCGGAUUUAUUGGGCGUAAAGAGCGUGUAGGCGGUCAGAUAGGUCCGUUGUGAAAACUCGAGGCUCAACCUCGAGACGCCGAUGGAAACCAUCUGACUAGAGUCCGGAAGAGGAGAGUGGAAUUCCUGGUGUAGCGGUGAAAUGCGCAGAUAUCAGGAAGAACACCCGUGGCUAAGGCGGCUCUCUAGUACGGUACUGACGCUGAGACGCGAAAGCGUGGGGAGCAAACGGG